rnacentral:rRNA from 1 species
CCGGGUUAGAUUGAUGGCGACCGGCGCAAGGGUGCGUAACGCGUUGAGCAACUUGCCCUUAUCAGGGGAAUAACCGUUGGAAACGACGACUAAUACCCCCAUAGCAUCACUUUAAGGCAUCUUUUAGUGAUUAAAGAACUUCGGAUAAGGAUAGGCUCGCGUGACAUUAGCUAGACGCGGGGUAACGGCCCACCGUGGCGACGAUGUCUAGGGGUUCUGAGAGGAAGGUCCCCCACACUGGAACUGAGACACGGUCCAGACUCCUACGGGAGGCAGCAGUGAGGAAUAUUGGUCAAUGGUCUGACGACUGAACCAGCCAUGCCGCGUGAAGGUGACGGCCCUAUGGGUCUUAAACUUCUUUUGCAAGGGAGCAAUAAGCCUCACGUGUCGGGGCGUACCUGAGAGUACCUUGCGAAUAAGCAUCGGCUAACUCCGUG